AGUCCAGUUCCACUUUGGAGGAAUAGGACAGUUUGUUCCUGGUAAACCAUCUUGCCAGGUACUCCUCUUCUGCUGAACCCCAGACCAAUGUAAGAGAAGCUCUUCAUCUAAUUUGUUCCUCACAUUAACAACAACAUUGUCAUUAGUAGUUACAUUCAGAGUUGGUCCAGGAAACUUUCCAUUAAUAGCAAUAACCUGUUCAGACACCCCAAGUGGAGAAGCAUCAAUGUAAGAGACCUCAAAGUUAAAAAACUUAAAUGGAUCUCCAGCAUAACUUAACCCCAUAAACAAGAAAAUGCAGAUAAGGGUAAUUAAGCAAGACCAAGUAGAAGAAGCCAUUGAAGUUCAAAGUAAGUAAAGAUUGAAACUUUCAAGAUGUUUUUACAAUAAAGAUUCAAGAAAAUGUUCUUUUUUUGUGUGCAAUUACAUUAUAUGGAUAGAACAAAGAAAAA
rnacentral:misc_RNA from 1 species